rnacentral:rRNA from 1 species
UACGUAGGGGGCUAGCGUUGUCCGGAUUUAUUGGGCGUAAAGAGCGUGUAGGCGGUCCGGUAAGUCCGCUGUGAAAGUCGGGGGCUCAACCCUCGAAUGCCGGUGGAUACUGUCGGGCUAGAGUGCGGAAGAGGCGAGUGGAAUUCCUGGUGUAGCGGUGAAAUGCGCAGAUAUCAGGAAGAACACCAAUGGCGAAAGCAGCUCUCUGGGACGGUACUGACGCUGAGACGCGAAAGCGUGGGGAGCGAACAGG